ACAACUGCGAUGGAAGUUGAAAGUUGUUCGUAUGGGGAAAGUACAUAUUUACAAUUUAGACAUUGCUUUCUCGAUUGAAUUGGUUCUACAAGAUGAAAAGAUACCUAGGAAGAGCUGGCAGCCUUAAACUUGUCAUUUUCAAGCUCAAUAAAUUAUGCAGAAGAUCAGUUUAGGCGGAAUACUCUUUAACAUACCAUGACAGAGUUAAGGACGUUCACUUUCUCAUGGAACUCUCAUCCAGAUAUGUUGAAUUUUACUUGCAAAAGAAGGGCCAUGCCAGAUCAGGUGACAUGAAUAUCAAUCGCUAUGAGGUAUUCCAAGAUGUAGGAUUAAGGCCGCUGGAUAAGACCAUUGAGGCGUCGUAAUUCAGCUAGCUUGCUUACUUGAUUAAAAUUGGCAAAUCUUUGUUCAGUAAGCUUUUUUUAUUUAUUUAUUCUUGAUCUCAUGGCUAUUGAUGAAAAUUAAUCUUUCAUGUUCUUAGGAGUUUUUCCUUCUUUUUUAAAUCGAAUGUCUCAAAGAGACCCUGGGGAGUUUUUCUUUCAUUUAGGUGAAAGAACCAA